CACACAAAAAUCACACUGAUUGAGCUGCUUCUCCACAUUUAGGAAAAAGUUGAAAGUCUAACAUUACAGGUGAAGUAUUUUAUUCCCUUUGGUACUAAGCAUGAUUUGAAGAGCCAUUAAACAACCGUCAACAUUGAUUUUUAGAAAAAUGAUUCCUUAUUCUGUAAAAUUUGCUGCAGCAAAUACAUUAUUUUUGUCCACAACCUGAAGUAUCCAGCCUUAAAUUGAUAAGGUUCCUCAGAUUUUUUCUCAAUUAGUAGAUGUUAUUUUUUCUACAAACUUCCUCCCUUUUGGAGUGAAAAACAGCAUAAAUAAUUUGUUUAGCUUUUUUGAAACCCUUGUUUUCCUUUAGUGAUCAUAAAAUAUGUGUGAUUAACAUCUAUAUUUAUUGAUGCUUGAGACCAUUCAGAUAGUCUUUUAUAAACUUCAUUCAAAUUGAAACAGAUUAGUCCCAGUGAUACUGGUUAAUGGGGUUGCUCUCCAGUGUUAGUUUAUGUCACUUUUAAUGUGACUGAAGUUGUUGUGGCAAACAUUAUUACACUCAGAGAUGCAAAGGCACAUUUGCCAUAUAAUAAUCUACAUUUAAAAAGCUUACAUAGAACACCGAUGAACAAAGCAACACACUGAAUUUAAACUGAAUUUUGAGCUUCUUCAGAUUAUCUGAUAUACAACUUAAAUAAAAAUGUUCCCUAUCAGAUUUACAGUUUGUAUGUGUUUGUUGUCUGCCACACUCUCAGUAUGAGCUGAGCAUGCCAGAUGGAUCAGUGCCUCCUGCAGACAUCUGAUGAACCAACUGACAGAGAAUGCCCAGCCUCUGUUUCCAGCAGCAUUUCUGCUGCCCUCUGUGUAAAAUGAGAUCUCCCAGGAAUGUCAGUACAACCCGAAAAGAAAUGUCGGUGCUCUAAUUUUCUAGAGCAAUGCUUCUCUCUUCCCUACACUUCUGCUAAGAUGCUGCUGAGCACUGGACCAUGACAAUGACAGAGAAUAUCUUGCUCAAGCAGGAGAAAAAAAAAAAAAAAAAAAGCUGGAAACAUGAACUGACCUCUGGAAGAAAGCUGCUAAUGAGAGUUUGUGUUUGUGGAAAAAGAAUGCUGUGAAGAAAGAAAAACUUAGAACUGUAUGAACCAAAACAAUGAAAUCUUUGAAAAAUUCAUACUACUGCUAUAGAAUUUCAAAGAACCACAGAAUAAGGGCUGCAGGCCCCUGGCACUGGAGGCAAGGUACAGCACAAUCAAAACAGAAGAAGAACACACUCCCUGCAUACAGACUGUCCUGCACAGCAGCAUGGUGUGAGCAAAGCAGUGCUGAUAUUCCCAUGAGGGGAAUGUCCAUGAGUGAUACACUGCUGGGAAUUCAUCUGCAUCAAACAGAAGGUCAGACUGGAGGUUUCCAGGGAUUCUUACCCACAAACAUUUCUAUGCUUCCAGACCUAUAAGGAAGGAGAUCUUGCAGAAUCACAGAAUGGCUGAGAUUGGAAGGGACCUCUGGAAGUCAUCUCAUCCAACCCUCCUUGAGCAAGAUCACCUAAAGCAUGUUGUCCAAGACCACAUCCAGGCAGCUUUUGAGUAUCUUCAAUGAAGGGGACUCUACAACUUCUCUGGAAUGCUUCUACAGUCUCAAUUCAUGAGACUGUUUUCAGUCCACCUCUCCAGCCUGUUGAGGUCCGUCUGGAUGGCAGCAUGGCCCUCUGGUGAGUCAGCCACUCCCCCCAGUUUUGUGCCAUCUGCAGAUCUACUGAGUGUGCACUCAACAUGAUCUUCCAGACAGUUAAUAAAAAUUAAUUAAACAGGACUGGACUCCUGGGCCAUUCUGUUCAC